UAAGGAAUAUUGGUCAAUGGACGCAAGUCUGAACCAGCCAUGCCGCGUGAAGGAUGAAGGUCCUCUGGAUUGUAAACUUCUUUUAUCUGGGACGAAACCUCUUAUUCUUAAGAGACUGACGGUACCAGAGGAAUAAGCACCGGCUAACUCCGUGCCAGCAGCCGCGGUAAUACGGAGGGUGCAAGCGUUAUCCGGAUUCACUGGGUUUAAAGGGAGCGUAGGAGGGCAGGUAAGUCAGUGGUGAAAUCUUCGAGCUUAACUCGGAAACUGCCGUUGAUACUAUCUGUCUUGAAUACCGUGGAGAUGAGCGGAAUAUGUCAUGUAGCGGUGAAAUGCUUAGAUAUGACAUAGAACACCAAUUGCGAAGGCAGCUCGUUACACGAAUAUUGACUCUGAGGCU
rnacentral:rRNA from 1 species